rnacentral:rRNA from 1 species
AGGUCCAGCCUGCCCAGUGAUAAAUUUAACGGCCGCGGUAUCCUAACCGUGCGAAGGUAGCAUAAUCACUUGUUCUUUAAAUGGGGACUAGUAUCAACGGCAUCACGAGGGUUGCACUGUCUCCUUUUUCUAAUCAGUGAAACUGAUCUCCCCGUGAAGAAGCGGGGAUACAACAAUAAGACGAGAAGACCCCAUGGAGCUUUAAAUCUAACAGCAACUCUACCAUACAAUUCCCCACAACCACAGAGCUGUGCAUGUAGAUUUUAGGUUGGGGCGACCGCGGAGUAAAAAUUACCCUCCACGACGAAAAGAGCUAAACCCUUAUCCUAGAGAUACCCCUCCAAGAAUUAGUACACUAACGAACUAUGACCCGAUAAUCGAUUAACGGACCAAGUUACCCUGGGGAUAACAGCGCAAUCUACUUCGAGAGCCCAUAUCGACAGGUAGGCUUACGACCUCGAUGUUGGAUCAGGGUACCCAAAUGGUGCAGCCGCUAUUAAUGGUUCGUUUGUUCAACGAUUAAAACCCUACGUGAUCUGAGU